GCCCUCGUAGCUCAGUGGAUAGAGCGUCUGCCUCCGGAGCAGAAGGCCACAGGUUCGAGUCCUGUCGAGGGCACCA
rnacentral:tRNA from 1 species